rnacentral:rRNA from 1 species
AAGGUGGGGAUGACGUCAAGUCCUCACUUGGCCUUUAUGACCAGGGCUACACACGUACUACAAUGGUUGGUACAACGAGUCGCAAGCCGGUGACGGCAAGCAAAUACUCUUAAAGCCAAUCUCAGUUCGGAUUGUAGGCUGCAACUCGCCUACAUGAAGUCGGAAUCGCUAGUAAUCGCGGAUCAGCACGCCGCGGUGAAUACGGUUCCCGGGCCUU